rnacentral:rRNA from 1 species
GACGAACGCUGGCGGCGUGCCUAAUACAUGCAAGUCGAACGCAGUGGGGACGGGUGAGUAACAAGUGGGUAACCUCCCAUCAGAGGGGAUAAAACUUGGCAACAGGUGCUAAACCGAUACUGAUGGAUGGACCCGCGGUGCAUUAGCUACUGGGUGGGGUAACGGCUCACCAAGGCCACGAUGCAUAGCCGGGCUGAGAGGGUGAUCAGCCACACUGGGACUGAGACACGGCCCAGACUCCUACGGGAGGCAGCAGUAGGGAAUCUUCGGCAAUGGACGAAAGGCUGAUCGAGCAAUGCCGCGUGAGUGAAGAAGGUGUUCGGAUCGUAAAAUUCUGUUGUUAGAGAAGCGGUAUCUAACCAGAAAGCCACGGCUAACUACGUGCCAGCCGCCGCGGUAAUAC